CACGUAGGGUGCGAGCGUUGUCCGGAAUUAUUGGGCGUAAAGAGCUCGUAGGCGGUGUGUCGCGUCGGCCGUGAAAACCUGCAGCUUAACUGUGGGCUUGCGGUCGAUACGGGCAUCACUGGAGUUCGGCAGGGGAGACUGGAAUUCCUGGUGUAGCGGUGAAAUGCGCAGAUAUCAGGAGGAACACCGGUGGCGAAGGCGGGGUCUCUGGGCCGGUACUGACGCUGGAGAACGCGAAAGCGUGGGGAGCAAACAGG
rnacentral:rRNA from 1 species